CAUUUUUUUAUUCAUAUGUUUUGAAUUACCCUGGCCUUCAUAGCUUACUAGCUAACCUUAGGUCUCUCCGUCAAUCAGAAGCAAGGAUGGUUCUGUGCUAUGUAUCGUAUUGUAACCACUACUCCAAUAAGUACGUCGCUGGAGCUGUGUGAUGAGUCCAUAGGAGUGCAUCUCUCAUACCAUCUGGUGCAUGGACAUCAGACAUGAGGCAUAACAUGCGGAAAAUCAGGCUCACCACGAGAAGCAGUCCAUGAUCAACGCCACCCUCAGCAAGGAGAUUUGCUGUAAGUGUAUUCUCUCUCAUUCUGGGCUUGCCUACUCACCAGACAUUUCACCCAUUGAGCAUGUU